GGGGAAAUCAAGAUGGAGGCAGCCACAUGGUCUAUGCUGAAGGAACCUGCUGUAGUAUCAUUAAAGGCGCCAUGAAUGCUCCCAACACUGACUGAUAACGUCAGCAUUUUCUACUGCUUCGCCGCUGGCAUGGGCAACACCCAUGAAACAUGGAUUGUUCCCAGC